rnacentral:tRNA from 1 species
GGCACAACUCAGGGGUAGAGCACGUGCUUAGCAAGCACAAGGUCCUGGGUUCAAUCCCCAGUACUGCCA